rnacentral:pre_miRNA from 1 species
UGCGGCCCGUAGUCAGUAGUUGGGGGGUGGGAACGGCUUCAUACAGGAGUUGAUGCACAGUUAUCCAGCUCCUAUAUGAUGCCUUUCUUCAUCCCCUUCAACCACGCGCAGCCCCCGGAC